GCUCCUCCAUACCUCGCCGUCUUUCUUCCUUUAUCCCUUCUCCGAUAGCUUGUUCAUCACUCUCCCUUCCGUCUUUCUUUGUCCUCUGCAAUGGUAGGUCGCUGGAUCAUUAUCCCCUGUCACCGUCCUUUAUUUCUUCCUUGCUUUGGGUCAGCGUGUGGUGCAUGGGCUUCAUUUUCCCUUCCCCCUCUCAGCUGCAGGAUAUCGAGUGUGUGUGCCAUCUCCUUUUCUUCGGUGUCAUCUGUGGGUUGAUGAGUGGCUUUUGCCACUGCAUUUUGGUUUGAGACGCACGCAACAGGGGAAACAAAUUCUCUGGAUUCUUCGAUCGUUCUGUGUGCCAUCGCUCUCCUUUCAUUCCUCUUCGAUUCUCGAGAUAUUCCACGCGGCAGCCUCCGAUCAUCAUCCUUCCAUCGCCCGUCCUCCUUUAGCCAGUAUUUCCUCUGCUUUUCACCACUAGUUUGGUUCGUCCUUGUGCUCUGUAGUUCUAGGUAGAUGUAGAGUGCAUGGCAGUGGUUUCGGGUGUCCAAAUUAUUUUCUCUUCCAUCUUCUUUUCCUUCUCCUGGUCGUCCGUGAGUUUGUAUCUAAGGGGCGUGAGUUCUUUUGUCUUGUGUUUUGUCAUGUUUUUUGAAGAGGAAAACUGAAAUUUAUGCCUUAUCUUACCAGCUACUUGUUGUUUGAGGAAAGUAUUAGA